UGUCUGUGUUCCUCCGAAAUCCAUAUUGAGACUGAAUCCCCAGUGCAACAGGGUCCAGAGGCCCCGGGACUCUGCCCCAGCCAAAGCCAGCGUGGGCGAUUCAUGGCUCCCCGCUGCGGCAGCUGAGCACCAUCAGAAGUGACCCCAUUUGUGACUGUCUUGGCCUGAGAAUGUUCCACGGGUCUGGACUGGAGCCUGGGACUCUGCAUUUCUACCCAGCACCCAGGGGUGCCCAGGCUGCUCCUGGGACCUCACUUCCCGGCGGUGGUACCUUCACAGCACCAGCCACUA
rnacentral:lncRNA from 1 species